rnacentral:rRNA from 1 species
GACCUACGGGGGGCAGCAGUGGGGAAUAUUGGACAAUGGGCGAAAGCCUGAUCCAGCCAUGCCGCGUGUGUGAAGAAGGUCUUCGGAUUGUAAAGCACUUUAAGUUGGGAGGAAGGGCAGUUACCUAAUACGUGAUUGUUUUGACGUUACCGACAGAAUAAGCACCGGCUAACUCUGUGCCAGCAGCCGCGGUAAUACAGAGGGUGCAAGCGUUAAUCGGAAUUACUGGGCGUAAAGCGCGCGUAGGUGGUUGGUUAAGUUGGAUGUGAAAUCCCCGGGCUCAACCUGGGAACUGCAUUCAAAACUGACUGACUAGAGUAUGGUAGAGGGUGGUGGAAUUUCCUGUGUAGCGGUGAAAUGCGUAGAUAUAGGAAGGAACACCAGUGGCGAAGGCGACCACCUGGACUGAUACUGACACUGAGGUGCGAAAGCGUGGGGAGCAAACAGGAUUAGAUACCCUUGUAGUCU